GAGACCAAACCGGUCUCUCUAUUCUCUCCCGACCCGACUCUUCUCAUCCCCUUUCUUCCCAACCCUAGAGGCAGCGGCGAACCUCCCAGGCUUAGCGGCGGCGGAGGGCUAUGGAUGGCGGCAGUUCUGCGGAUGGAGACGGCGUCGCGGACGACGGCCAUGGCGCGGCUGCGGACGUGUCAUGGCUUGCCGAUGGCACCGGCGGGGCUGAGGUCAGGUCAAUCCAGGGCGUCGCGCUAGCCUCGGGCUGCGGUGGGGUUGAGCCAGCAUCGGGCCAGGCCGGAGACUUGGCUACAGCUGGCUCGGGCCUGGCCGGUGGCUCGGCUGCAGCUGGCUCGGGCCAGGGCACGGAAGUGGCUGGGGUCUCCGACGAGGGCAUGGCUGGGUCGUUCUUGGCAGCAGCUUCAGGCCAGGACGGUACUCAGUUGCCGCCAGCAACAUGGGCGUGUCCAGAUGGGAUGGAUCCAAAUUCGAGUUAUUUGCUCAAAAUUAAAUUGUUUGGCAACCCAAAGAAAGCUCGAAAGGACAUAAAAUGUUUUUGUUUUGAGAAGGUCAUCGACUGUGACUUGACAAAUUAUAAGGAUUUGGUCGAGUCAAUUGUAGAGCAGUACCCGCCGCGUUAUUUGGAAGUUGCACAUGUAAUUGUCCAUGGAGGAUAGAUGCUUCUACGACCGAGGAUAAGUGUACUAUAAUGGUGAAGAAAAACCCAUGUGGUCAUGAUUGCUCUAGUACAAGAAAGAAAAAGAAGAUGAAGAAUGCAACCAAGUAUUGGAUAUGUGAUAAGGUGAAGGAUUGGCUGAUUGAAGAUGCUACUCUCGGAGCAAAGGCAUUGCGCAAAAAGAUUAAAGAACACCACAAGGUUGACAUCCACUACAAGAGGGUAUAUAUGGGUAAGAAGCUAGCUCUGAAAGAACUAUAUGGUGAUUGGGAUAGCAGCUUUGACAAUUUGUAUAGGUUUAAAGCACAAGUAGAAAUCUCUUGCCCUGGUAGCAUAGUGCAGAUCGAUCAUUACACUAUAAAAGAAAAAAAAUAGGUUUAGAAGGUUCUUCUUUGCUUUGAAACCUUGCAUAGAUAGAUUCCUUAGUGGUUGCAGACCGUAUUUGGCAGUAGAUAGCACAUUCUUAACAGGCAGGUUUAAGGGGCAGCUAGCCAGUGCUACCGCUGUAGAUGGCCAUAAUUGGAUGUAUCCACUUUGUUUUGGAAUUUUUGAUUCCGAAACAAAUGAGAACUGGAUCUGGUUCAUGCAAUUGCUUAGGCAAUCCAUAGGAUCGCCAAGGGGUUUAGCCAUAAGCACUGAUGCUGGGCAGGCGGUGAUGACAGGGGUAAAGGAAGUUUUCCCAGAGGUAGAACAUAGGGAAUGCAUGUUCCACUUGGUGUCAAACUUCAAGAAAAAGUAUCACGGAAAGGUAUUUGAUGACCAUCUUUGGGCUGUUGCUUACUCAUGGAACAAGUAUAUAUUUGAGAAAAAUUGUGUUGCAAUGGAGACAGCAAAGCCAGUGGCAACUACAUAUCUUAGGAAGUGGCACACUAGGUUGUGGACUAGGAGUCAGUUCUCAACCAUUUGUAAGGUGGACUGUGUAACCAAUAACCUGGCAGAGUGCUUCAAUAAAUGGAUUAAGCACCACAAGUCCUUGAACUUGGAUGACUUAAUGGACAAGCUUAGGCAGAUGAUUAUGAUCAUGUGGAAUCGAAGGAGAAAAGUAGCAAAGAAGUUAGCUGGCUUAUUAAUUUUGCCCCUCAUAAUGAAGAAGUUGAAUGCAAAGAGUAGAGAGUUAAACUUGGAGGUGGUAGAAAGCUCAGAAGAAGUUGCUGAAGUUACUCAAUUGGGAGGCAGUGGGUCUUUGUCGUCAACUUGCAUGACAACACAUGUUCUUGUAGACAAUGGCAAGUUUCCGGCCUUCCUUGCAAGCAUGCUCUAGCAUUCAUCACAUCACUUGUCAAUGCACAUAUACAGAAUUAUGUGGACUCGUAUUACUCCAUUGACAAGUUUAGGUCAGCUUAUGGCCAACUAAUCCCUGCUAUGUGUGACAAGACCCAGUGGCCUGAAUCUAACCAUGGAUUCUUCAUGCAUCCACCCUAGUUAAAAGUUGUAGUUGGUCGGCCCCAAACUGAGAGGCAUAAGGGUUGUGGUGAGAAAAAGGGGGAAAGUGGCCAGCACUUGUGCCCUAUUUGCAAGGAAUACGGGCACCAUUGGCAUAAGUGUAAGAAUGGUAACAAAGAUGACAUUGCUGCUUUCAUGGCUGUGAGAGAACCACCAAAGAAGAGGAGGAAGACUACUAAAACAUCCGAGUCAUCCAUUGUGCCAAGAGGUGAUGACGCGCCGGCAACCGCUAUGUAUUUUCCACCAAGCCAAAACUUGGAAACUACAACCAAGAAGAAGGGAAAGCAUAACCAAACAUUGGAGACUACAAACAAGAAAAAUGCAAAAGGGGGGGAAAGGGCCACAAGGAAGAUGGAGCUUGCUAAAAAGGAUCAAAACAAUCCGAUGGUGCCAUUUGACAGCCCUGCAAUGGGCACUAGAAGCAAAAAAGCUUACCCAACUAGCCCUGCAAUGGGCACAAGAAGCAAAAGGCGGCUCAGCUUGUGAACUCCAUCUAAUUUCUUUCACUUAAUGUCACUUUUGUUGCUGCUCAUGUCAUGUCGUGUGGACUUGGAGUAAUGUAUGUGAACCUGGGUAUGAUGUGAGCCACUUUUGGGUUGCUAAUAUGAUGUAUGUGUGGACUUGGGAGUAAUGUAUGUGAACCUGGGUAUGAUGUGAGCCACUUUUGGGUUGCUAAUAUGAUGUAUGUGUGGACUUGGAGUAAUGUAUGUGAACCCGGGUAUGAUGUGAGCCUCUUUUGGGUUGCUAAUAUGAUGUAU